GACGAACGCUGGCGGCGUGCUUAACACAUGCAAGUCGAACGGUGAAAGCGGAGCUUGCUCCGCUGGAUCAGUGGCGAACGGGUGAGUAACACGUGGGCAACCUGCCCCUCACUUCGGGAUAACUCCGGGAAACCGGGGCUAAUACCGGAUAUGACCUCCUUGGGCAUCCUUGGAGGUGGAAAGUUUUUCGGUGAGGGAUGGGCCCGCGGCCUAUCAGCUUGUUGGUGAGGUAGUGGCUCACCAAGGCGACGACGGGUAACCGGCCUGAGAGGGCGACCGGUCACACUGGGACUGAGACACGGCCCAGACUCCUACGGGAGGCAGCAGUGGGGAAUAUUGCGCAAUGGGCGAAAGCCUGACGCAGCGACGCCGCGUGAGGGAUGAAGGUCUUCGGAUCGUAAACCUCUUUCAGUAGGGACGAAGCGAAAGUGACGGUACCUAAAGAAGAAGCACCGGCUAACUACGUGCCAGCCGCCGCCGUAA
rnacentral:rRNA from 1 species